AUAAGCUUCUUUCCCAGUAUCUCACUGGACUUGCAGAAGAGGGCCCUGUCUUUACGUGGUGUUUGACUUUUGCUGUACAUGGUGGAUGCUCACGAGAACAUUUUGUGCAGAAUGUACUAAUAUAAGCGUUACCUGGAGAAUCCUGCUCAUUUUCAGACUGGAUAUAGCUGGGAUUUUACAAUGCGUCCCUGUGCGUUUGCAGCCCGUCCUUGCUUCCGAUUGAUUUGGCUUUUAGAGCGGGACUGAGCCAAACCCCUGGAACCUGGCUGACAUCUAUCUGGAGUGCUUCACGCGCCUCUGUGGGACAGCUGAAGUCGGGGAAAACAUCAUGCCUACACUGCCCAAUCUGAACAGCCUGGGGAGACUGUGCAGCUCCAGCCGCAGCCACAAUGUUGACCGUGUGCGGGUGAAACGCAAGGGCUCCAUCAAGCGCAUGUCCAUCAUUGAGGACGGUCAUGUGGCGGAGGUCCUGUACCUUAUACCUAAACAGUAUAUGCAGCAGCUGCCCUACCUCGACCCAAACGACUAUUACCUGAGCGAGAGGCUGCAUGACGUUGCUGCAGUGGCUCAUGCGCAGGACACGCACCACCACUCCACAGAGAAGCCCCUGAUCCAGUGCUGUAAGUGCGGGCAGCCAUGUAAGGGCGAGGUGCUGCGGGUGCAGAACAAACACUUCCAUCUAAAGUGUUUCACAUGUAAAGUGUGCGGGUGUGACCUGGCCCAGGGGGGCUUCUUCAUGAAGAAUGGAGAGUAUCUGUGCACGCUGGACUACCAACGCAUGCAUGGUACCCGCUGCAAUGGAUGCGGGGACUUUGUGGAGGGGGAAGUGGUCACUGCGUUGGGAAAGACAUAUCACCCGGCCUGCUUUGUCUGCACUAUCUGCAAACGGCCCUUCCCCGCCGGAGACAGGGUGACCUUUAAUGGGAAGGACUGUUUGUGUCAAUACUGCCUUGAACCUAUGUCUCCAGGACCAAAAGACAUCCUGGGCUCCAGCAAUUGUGCAGGGUGUGGCCGAGACAUUAAGAACGGACAGGCCCUCUUAGCGUUGGACAAACAGUGGCAUCUGGGCUGCUUCAAGUGUAAGGCCUGCUGCAAAGUGUUAACUGGAGAGUACAUAAGCAAGGAUGGUGCUCCCUACUGUGAGAAGGACUACCAGAUUCACUUUGGAGUGCAGUGCGAGGCGUGUCAUCAGUUCAUCACCGGCAAAGUGCUCGAGGCAGGAGAUAAGCAUUACCACCCCAGCUGUGCCAGAUGUAGCAGGUGCAAUCAGAUGUUCACCGAAGGAGAAGAGAUGUACCUGCAAGGAUCAACCGUGUGGCAUCCUGGCUGCAAGAACACGACGAGAACAGAGGAAAGACACAGGGAGAGGCUGUUGCCACCGUCCCUCUUAUUCCUUCAAAAAACAGAAAGGCAGCCUACAAGGUCGUCAUCUGAGAGUAUUUCUUCCAGACCUGGUUCAAGCAUACCUGGCUCACCGGGUCACACAAUCUAUGCAAAAGUAGACAAUGAGAUUCUUGAUUACAGAGACCUAGCUGCCAUUCCAAAAGUCAAAGCCAUUUAUGACAUUGAGCGCCCUGAUCUUAUUACCUAUGAACCUAUGUACACCACCUCCCUGGAGGAGAGAGAGGAGAGACGAGAGAGUGUAGGAGAGCUCCUUAAUGCCAGACGGGAGCGUUCGCCCUUGCCUGAUGACAAGUCUUUCAGAACCAUGUCACCCACCCUAUCCAAUGAGGGAUGUUAUGACAAGCGAGAACGCACCCUCCAAAGGUCCACCAGUCAGGGAUCUAUAGGCUCGCCAGUUUAUAAUCGCCAUGGUUACACACCCACCCUGUCACGGUCCCCGCAGCAUUUUCACAGACCAGAGGCUCUGACAGGCAUGCAGAAACUCUGCUCCUCCCUGUGCAGUAACAGUGUGGGCUCCAGAAAUAAUGACUCCCGCCCCACCUCCCCUUUCAGACACCACUUCCUGCCCCAUACCCAAGGCACUGACCCACCAAGCGGCCGGAGCUCCCCUCUCCCGCUCAGGCCCGACAGCCGGCCGGGCACCCCGCCUCUCUCUCAGACCCCUAAACAUUUUCACCUUCCAGAUCAGGGCAGUAACAUCUACAGGAAACCACCGAUCUACAAACAAUACGAUACAGCUGCCAUAGCACGUCAAAGCAAGUCGGCUGAUGACAUCAUCAGAUCUGCCACCUUCCCUGCUGCCCAUGCUCCCUCUCCAGACGACAUCUCACAGAAUGAGGGUUCAGAAGGAAGAAGACGAUCAAGAGAAGAAGAGGAGGAAGAGACCUUGAAACGAAAGCAGCUUCAGGAAGAACAUCUCAACAAGAUUCAGUCUGGUUUGGGAAAGCUAAUUCUGAGGGAGGAGAUGGAAAAAGAUCAGACGAGGGAACGCCACGCAAGGAGUCUCUCUGCUCAGCGCUACGAACCCAAGCAGAAUAAUGGCGAUGCAGAUCCAACUUCUCCAACCAAAACAAACUCUUUGCCUGGCUAUGGAAGGAACGGCCUACACCGGCCCCAGUCAACAGAUUUCACCCACUACAACAGCUAUGGUGACAUGUGUGGAGGAGGCAGAGAGUUUCAGGUAUGUCCCUCAUCUGCUUUUUCUCAUGGCAUGCUUCCUCACCUCGAGCCACACGUUUGCUUGCAGUAGGCACCUUGCCUUGUAUGCACACUGUCCACUUGUGCUACACGCUUGCAUUGUUACCGGACGUGCUGCUGUUGUAUGUCAUCUAGAUGUCACCUACGGGGCAUGCAGUCAUUUCAAAUGCACUGCCCAGUAGCGGAGCAACUGUACUCUUAUGUGCAACGUGCAAGCCUCACUUCAUGUGUUGUUUUGUUUGUCUGUAUACCAAUGUCAUGACCCAAGCUAAAUGUCAGAUUGACAAAUAUAAUUUCCAAAUUCACCUCAGGGACACAUAAACAUACACUUUAACAACAGCUGUCCAUCUUAAACACUGACUCCUGAGCAGUAGUCAAUCUCCUUGCUCCAUCCAGUGAAAAGUGUGCCCGCUGUCAUAAAAGGGCGACAUACUCAUACCAUUAACCCUGCAGUCCCCUCCCAAUAUAUUAUAUUUGUGUAUGUUCUAUUCUUUAGCACAUUAAGGAUGGCCGUGCAGCACUUGCAAGGAUGGACAGGGGAGUAUCUAUGCCUAAUAUGUUGGAGCCCAAAGCAAGUAUCUUCCUCUUUUUGUACUGAUGGCAACUGAUGUGAACUACACUAUAUGCACAAAAGUAUUGAGACACUACUUUGUCAGUUAGUUUGUCAGUCAGGGGUUGGACGUCGCCCCUUCAUUUCAAGAAUCCUCACCUGGUUUUUCAACAUAUUCCCCAAAAAGUCAUCUGAAAUGAAAGAAGCUUAAAAUGUAGAUCUAUGGUGCAAAACACUUUAACAAUUAAAACUAGUGAGUUUUUCAGGAAAUAUAAACAAACUACAAUCACACAAACCAAAAAGGAAAUAUGCCAAAGUCCAGAUUGACAGGGAUGGAGGCCAAUAACUGUGCAUGUUGUUGCAAUCAGUCGCUCUAAACGUGUGUGUGUGCUAUAUAAAAACAUGGCAUAGUGGAAAACAGGAUCAAACAGUGGUGAAUGCUUAUCGUCCUAAUCUGACGUAACAUGUCUACCUGCGUUCUUAUACGAAAUCAGUCUCCAUGAGUACAUUUUUGGAUGUGUCCUUUGUUUCGCGCGUUGUUAUGCCAUGAGGGUCUUAGUAUGUGUAAACAAAAUAAUUCAUUUUCCGACACUUUGUGACAAAAAAUGUCACACUUUUAGACUCUCGCAAUUUUAGACUCUCCAGUGAAUCUAAGAUGCAUGUUUUGGAAUGUGGGAGGAAACCAGAGUACCAGAAAACCCAAACAGACAGGGAGAUAACAUGCAAACUUCACAAUGAGAUAUAAAACAAUAAAUUGGAAAUAUUGCACUAUGUUAUGCAGUUUAGGAAACAUGCAAAAUUUCCCAUAUAUAAUAUAACCAGAGCACUGUUCAAAUGAGGAAUAAAGUGGAGAAUAGGAUUUGUUACGCUUUACGAGUGAAGUGUGCUACCCCAGAAUAUAAUGACAAGAUGUCCAGGUUCAUUUCCCCCUAAAAUCUUGCCUACUUUGGGGUCCCAAUACUUAUGUUCAUAUAUUGUAUACUACAAUAUGUACAGCGAGUCUACACUAACAACACCUAAGAAAGACAAUUCCGGAAAACUGUCUUAAAAACAACAGUUUGACAUAAUGAGGUUCAUACCUCAUACACUAUAAUCUCAAAUUGAAAGACUUCCAGAUUUAGCAUGCUGCUUCAGGAGCUGCAGUCACUCUAAUGCUUAGCAUGCUGGCUUCUUCAUGUUCAUCUGCACAUAGCUGUGACUUCCACUGGAUACUGUAUGCGGCAUACAGGGAAGAAUCCAAAUUCCCAUCCCAACCACUCAUAUCCCUAUAUACUGUCGUGCGGUGGUUCUCAACUGGUUUGGCUACGGGACUCACCGUCCAGUCUUAGUGACAAGCGUUGACCCAAAAUGUGGAAGUUUUACAACUCAAAUUUCUCCAAUGUCUUAUAUUUAUAUCCACAAACUCAACAUUAUUUUACCAAUAAGUGUUUAUAAAGGUUUUCUAUUUUGCUCUCGCUAAUGUUUGGUCGCUACUUGCUAGCUCGGCAGACAGAUAAGAGACAGAUUUCAGAGCCUUCAUUUAAACAAAUGUGCUAGCUCAAUGCUAAUUUACAUUGAAAAUCCCAUUUACACGCUAGCGAUUAAACAGGACCUAUUAUGCUCAUUUUUCGACCCUUUAAUAUUGAGUUUUGGUCUCCUGUAGAGCAGCUACACACAAUAACCAGCACAGAAAACUUUUGAGAUUUUCCAGAAUCUGCACCUAUUCCAGCUGUAUUUCCUUCGAUUUGUGCUUCCUACCACAACUGUAUGUUUUAAUUUAGUCCACCCACGACCCGCCUCCGGGCAGGCCCACUCAGCUGUGCUUGGUCACACGCCCAAAGUGCUCAGUUAGGGAUGGCUCGAAACACUGUGACAUCACACAGGGACAGUUUUUCCACGCCCUUUAAAAACCAAGCAUUUCGAGCCAUCCCAAACUUCUUUCAGGGCUGACCUCCAAAUGUGCAAACCUCAUUAUCUGAAAAUUUGGCAUCGUUUAACACGAGAAUACAACAUUCUAACUACAUUUAGCAUUAGCGAUUUUACAUGGCUAGUUCGAACACCUCCCAAUAUGACAAUUAAAUAAAUCAAUAACUAAGUAACAUCGUAAAAUACAUUCAGGCAAGCCCUUUCUAAGGGUCAGCAAGAGACAGGACUGACACAUUCAACUUGCAGACUACGCGUGAAUUUGAAGAAUUUGGAGAGUAUUACCAUAAUAGAUCGGGGUGGACUGGGACAAACAUUUAGCACUGGACCCCCCCAUUACGACCCUUCUCUAGUUUAUAAAAAAAUAAAAUAAAAUACUGUCCAGGGUUGGCAUCAAACCGUACCUUUAGGGAUCAGAAUGUACCAUUACAACCUACAUAGACAAACUUGAAGCGUCAAGCACACAACAGUAGACUGUAGCGAUGCGCAUCCUUUGCAGAAAAUCCCUCAUGGGUCGUGGGAACCUACGCACAGUGGCGGGAGGUUUGACUGUGCCACCAUGCCACCAGACCCCGGGUCAGGGAGAUUUAGUUACCAUAUUUAUCAAGACAAGGCACUGCAAUAAAUAAAUGAACAUCCAUCAAUUGGGCAACUCCAGAUAGCCAGUUCCCUAAGUGACACUCCACAGCAUAAAAACAAAUCCCCAUUGAGAACCCGACCCACCAGUUGAGAAUCACUGCUGUAUAAGGGAGCUUACCCUACUGUCCUACUGUGCGGAUGUGAGAGUUUGUCAAACGCUUACUUAUUGAAGCAAGUGACCAGAAUUCUUGCUUAUGGUUUAUUUAUUCAGAUAAGCAAAGGCACCCCAGUUUUUCAGGGCAGUCGUUACCGAUUUUUGGUUCUUACGUAACCAUUACCCUGUCCUUUUCUCAAUCUAUUGCACGUUAAAGAGUAUGACUACCACAGCAUUUUCUCAACAAACUAAAUGAUUGCUUUCACUCUCAGUCAGCCUCCUGUCACAUACCUGUUCUCCUUCCCAGUGUUUCCCUCUGCCACAAUUCUGAGCACAUCUCGAUAGAGUUGAUGUCAUUUUGUCACAUACAAAAUGAUGAGUCGGGUGUGUGACCCUGUGCACUGAUGAGUGUCUCCUUCUUAAGGUAUAUCCCUAUGAAAUGCUCAUGAUAACCAGUAGAGGGAGAGCUAAACUGCCCAGGGAUGUGGACAGAACCAGACUGGAGCGCCACUUAGCACCUGAAACGUUCUUUGACAUCUUUGGAAUGGAGAUCCAGGAGUUUGACAGGCUUCCCCUGUGGAA